CCUCCCGCUUCUCCUCCCUGAGCGGGGCCUAUCGUGGCAUUAGCGAUAAGGCGUUACUGCCCUGGAGAUCUUCCCCUUUCUCCAGGGUUUUUUUU
rfam:Herbaspirillum sp. TSA66 contig01, whole genome shotgun sequence.